rnacentral:rRNA from 1 species
AUUGAACGCUGGCGGCAUGCCUUACACAUGCAAGUCGAACGGCAGCACGGGAGCAAUCCUGGUGGCGAGUGGCGAACGGGUGAGUAAAGUAUCGGAACGUGCCCAGUCGUGGGGGAUAACGUAGCGAAAGUUACGCUAAUACCGCAUACGAUCUAUGGAUGAAAGCGGGGGAUCGCAAGACCUCGAGCGAUUGGAGCGGCCGAUAUCAGAUUAGGUAGUUGGUGGGGUAAAGGCUCACCAAGCCGACGAUCUGUAGCUGGUCUGGGAGGACGAGCAGCCACACUGGGACUGAGACACGGCCCAGACUCCUACGGGAUGCAGCAGUGGGGGAUUUUGUACAAUGGUCGCAAGCCUGUUCCAGCCAUGCCGCGUGCAGGAUGAAGGCCUUCGGGUUGUAAACUGCUUUUGCACGGAACGAAAAGGUUUGGCUUAAUACGUUGAACUCAUGACGGUACCGUAUGAAUAAGCACCGGCUAACUACGUGCCAGCCGCCGCGGUAAGAC